rnacentral:rRNA from 1 species
GGGUCAGCAGGUUGGUCGUGCCACCGGUACGUACUGGUCUCACUGAUUCCUCCUUCCUGAGGAACCGUAAUGCCAUUAAUUUGGUGUUGCGGGGAAACAGGACUGUUACUUUGAAAAAAUUAGAGUGUUUAAAGCAAGCUAACGCUUGAAUACAUUAGCAUGGAAUAAUGAAAUAGGACGAUCGAUCCUAUUUUGUUGGUUUCUAGGAUUGACGUA